UAUUCCAGUACCACCAUAAUGCGUUUGACAAAUGGGAUGACGCAGGAGGAUAGGAUGUGCGCACUAUUGGAUGUGCGUCUAAGCACUUAGGGUGUUAAGUAGGCAAAUCCGCUUAACAUUAAGCCUGAGGUGUGAUGGGGAGCCUAUUUUGGCGAAGUAUCUGAUUCCACGCUGCCAAGAAAAGUCUCUAUGGAGCAAAAUGGUGCCCGUACCGCAAACCGACACAGGUAGAUGAGGAGAGAAUCCUAAGGUCGUCGGAAGAAUUAUUGCUAAGGAACUCGGCAAAUUGACCCCGUAACUUAGGGAGAAGGGGUGCCUACGAGAGUAGGCCGCAGUGAAUAGGCUCAAGCAACUGUUUAUCAAAAACACAGGUCUCUGCUAAAGCGUAAGCUGAUGUAUAGGGGCUGACGCCUGCCCGGUGCUGGAAGGUUAAGGGGAAUAGUUAGCGCAAGCGAAGCUAUGAACUUAAGCCCCAGUAAACGGCGGCCGUAACUAUAACGGUCCUAAGGUAGCGAAAUUCCUUGUCGGGUAAGUUCCGACCCGCACGAAUGGCGUAAUGAUUUGAGCACUGUCUCGGCAAUAAAUCCGGUGAAAUUGUAGUGCAAGUGAAGAUGCUUGCUACCCGCGGUUGGACGGAAAGACCCCGUAGAGCUUUACUGUAGCUUAGCAUUGAAUUUCGGUAUUGUCUGUACAGGAUAGGUGGGAGACUUAGAAGCGAGGGCGUCAGCUUUCGUGGAGUCGUCCUUGGGAUACCACCCUGACAGUACUGGAAUUCUAACUGGAGGCCAUGAAUCUGGUCACAGGACAUUGCUAGGUGGGCAGUUUGACUGGGGCGGUCGCCUCCUAAAAGGUAACGGAGGCGCCCAAAGGUUCCCUCAGCGCGGUCGGAAAUCGCGCGUAGAGUGCAAAGGCAGAAGGGAGCCUGACUGCGACACAUACAGGUGGAGCAGGGACGAAAGUCGGGCUUAGUGAUCCGGUGGUUCUGUAUGGAAGGGCCAUCGCUCAACGGAUAAAAGCUACCUCGGGGAUAACAGGCUGAUCUCCCCCAAGAGUCCACAUCGACGGGGAGGUUUGGCACCUCGAUGUCGGCUCGUCGCAUCCUGGGGCUGUAGUCGGUCCCAAGGGUUGGGCUGUUCGCCCAUUAAAGCGGCACGCGAGCUGGGGUCAGAACGUCGUGAGACAGUUCGGUCCCUAUCCGCCGUGGGCGUAGGAAAUUUGAGAGGAGCUGUCCUUAGUACGAGAGGACCGGGAUGGACCAACCUCUGGUGCACCAGUUGUUCCGCCAGGAGCACAGCUGGGUAGCUAUGUUGGGAAGGGAUAAACGCUGAAAGCAUCUAAGCGUGAAGCCCACCUCAAGAUUAGAUUUCCCAUAGCGUAAGCUAGUAAGACCCCUGAAAGACUAUCAGGUUGAUAGGUUGGAGGUGUAAGUAC
rnacentral:rRNA from 1 species